rnacentral:misc_RNA from 1 species
GAUGAAGAACGCAGCGAAAUGCGAUAAGUAAUGUGAAUUGCAGAAUUCAGUGAAUCAUCGAAUCUUUGAACGCACAUUGCGCCCGCCAGUAUUCUGGCGGGCAUGCCUGUUCGAGCGUCAUUUCAACCCUCAAGCCCAGCUUGGUGUUGGGGAUCGGCACAGGCGCCCUCGGGCGCCCGCCGUCCCCUAAAUCUAGUGGCGGUCCCGCUGCAGCCUCCUCUGCGUAGUAGUUUUCUCCUCGCAAGGGCAGCUCGGUGGCGACCUCGCCGUAAAACCCCCAACUUCUGAAAGGUUGACCUCGAAUCAGGUAGGAAUACCCGCUGAACUUAAGCAUAUAAUAAGCGGAGGA